AAAAACAUGCCUUGGUGCUGUUAGCAUUGUGUUUUCCUGGGGGAAAAAGUGGAGAUUCUGCUCUGAUUACAUGUGUUAAAGAAGAAAAAGAGAGAUGUUGGUGGAGAUGACUGCAGAGUGGGCUUGUCCUCAGCACUUUCCUACAGCAUCCUUGUUCGUGGAGGCUACUGAAGCCACCAGCAUCAUGAAAUGGAGAGAACUGUUCAUCACAGAGCAGGUUUCUAAACUGGGGCUGCCCAGAAGACAGAGAACAAGAUAUUCUAUUCUUCCUAUUGACUAUCGAAGAUAUAUGCAGCUAUGUGUGAAUUAAGAUGAAAGAAGUAAAAUAAUGAACUGUUGUGGAAUAGAAAAUGCUGUAUUAUUGGAAAAAUAGAGGGGUCAUACUGUGAAUCACAGCUUAUGUGUGG
ensembl:lncRNA